UACGGAGGGUGCAAGCGUUAUCCGGAUUCACUGGGUUUAAAGGGUGUGUAGGCGGGCAGUUAAGUCAGUGGUGAAAUCUCCAGGCUCAACCUGGAAACUGCCAUUGAUACUAUCUGUCUUGAAUUCUGUUGAGGUGGGCGGAGUACAUCAUGUAGCGGUGAAAUGCUUAGAUAUGAUGUAGAACACCGAUUGCGAAGGCAGCUCACUAAACAGAUAUUGACGCUGAGGCACGAAAGCGUGGGGAUCAAACAGG
rnacentral:rRNA from 1 species